AAUACUUUCUAGUUGGUCAAUUUGAAACGAUACAGAGAAGAUUAGCAUGGCCCCUGCACUAAGGAUGACACGCUCAAUCAAAGAGAAGCUACCAAUUUUU
rnacentral:snRNA from 1 species